GCGUGCUUAACACAUGCAAGUCGAACGAUGAAGCCUAGCUUGCUAGGUGGAUUAGUGGCGAACGGGUGAGUAAUACGUGAGUAACCUACCUUUAACUCUGGGAUAAGCCUGGGAAACUGGGUCUAAUACCGGAUACGACCAAUCUCCGCAUGGGGUGUUGGUGGAAAGCGUUAUGUAGUGGUUAUAGAUAGGCUCACGGCCUAUCAGCUUGUUGGUGAGGUAACGGCUCACCAAGGCGACGACGGGUAGCCGGCCUGAGAGGGUGACCGGCCACACUGGGACUGAGACACGGCCCAGACUCCUACGGGAGGCAGCAGUGGGGAAUAUUGCACAAUGGGCGCAAGCCUGAUGCAGCGACGCCGCGUGAGGGAUGACGGCCUUCGGGUUGUAAACCUCUGUUAGCAGGGAAGAAGAGAGAUUGACGGUACCUGCAGAGAAAGCGCCGGCUAACUACGUGCCAGCAGCCGCGGUAAUACGUAGGGCGCGGGCGUUGUCCGGAAUUAUUGGGCGUAAAGAGCUUGUAGGCGGUUUGUCGCGUCUGCUGUGAAAGGCCGGGGCUUAACUCCGUGUAUUGCAGUGGGUACGGGCAGACUAGAGUGCAGUAGGGGAGACUGGAACUCCUGGUGUAGCGGUGGAAUGCGCAGAUAUCAGGAAGAACACCGAUGGCGAAGGCAGGUCUCUGGGCUGUAACUGACGCUGAGAAGCGAAAGCAUGGGGGAGCGAACAGGAUUAGAUACCCUGGUAGUCCAUGCCGUAAACGUUGGGCACUAGGUGUGGGGGACAUUCCACGUUUUCCGCGCCGUAGCUAACGCAUUAAGUGCCCCGCCUGGGGAGUACGGCCGCAAGGCUAAAACUCAAAGAAAUUGACGGGGGCCCGCACAAGCGGCGGAGCAUGCGGAUUAAUUCGAUGCAACGCGAAGAA
rnacentral:rRNA from 1 species